GUUUUGCCACUUAUUACUUAUAUGGCCUUGGGCAAGGACUCAAAAGAUGGUGAUCUAACUCUUCCUGGACAGAUAAAGCCAAAGGUGGGAGGUCAUGGCUGUCUACUCUUGAUAUAGGAGUGAAAGAUUAAUUGAACCAUCUAGUAAUUGGUUCUUUCCAAGGUUUCCCUCAGUAUAGCUGGUGCUCUUGCUUUGGUCCUCCAGUCAGACAGGGGAGGGAGAUUUUGCCUCCCAUCUUCCUGGCACUUGACACCAUGUUGUGUCACAUAAAUAAUUAGAAUUCUUGUGGUUGAAAAGAUUUCAACUUAUUCUCCUACUUUAAAUGCAUAAGAAGCGCUGGAUUUCUGAAAAGAUCUCAACCUAUUCUCCUACUUUAAAUGCAUAAGAAGCCUGACUUUCUGGCUUAAGUUGUGAAAUCAAAUGUGAGUGCCUAGGAGGACAUUUUUUGCAAGCAGAAAUGAUGCAGAAAUGGGAUUAAUCCAACACCAAAAGAAGAAAUGGAGACUGAAAGUUUUUAAGCAAUACACUCACCAUUAAUUAUAUAGGU
rnacentral:ncRNA from 1 species